GUAGGUGGCAAGCGUUGUCCGGAAUUAUUGGGCGUAAAGCGCGCGCAGGUGGGUUCUUUAAGUCUGAUGUGAAAGCCCCCGGGCUCAACCGGGGAGGGUCAUUGGAAACUGGGGAACUUAAGUGCAGGAGAGGAAAGUGGAAUUCCACGUGUAGCGGUGAAAUGCGUAGAUAUGUGGAGGAACACCAGUGGCGAAGGCGACUUUCUGGCCUGUAACUGACACUGAGGCGCGAAAGCGUGGGGAGCAAACAGGAUUAGAUACCCUGGUAGUCCACGCCGUAAACGAUGAGUGCUAAGUGUUGGGGGGUUUCCGCCCCUCAGUGCUGCAGCUAACGCAUUAAGCACUCCGCCUGGGGAGUACGGUCGCAAAGACUG
rnacentral:rRNA from 1 species